CGUUUCUCUGUGCGUGUGUGUAUAAGUGCCUGUGUGAGUUGUCCAGUCUGCCUCAUCUGGGUUUGUGUUCACUUCCUAUCAGGUGCCGCUAGUUGUACCUCUUCACUGGAGCCGCCUCCGCCCCGGUAUGACACUUGCUGAUAAGGACCGAAACUGCCUCCUCUGUCGCAUGGUUACGUCUCCCAAGG